GGGCUUCCGGCGUGGUUUCUGCGCGCCAGCAUGGACCGUAACCCGACGCCUCCGCCGCCUAGCUGCGAUCCGGAGGACGAGGAGGACCUGGCCGGGGGAGACUGCAUUGGGAGCACGGUCUACAGCAAGCACUGGCUCUUCGGCGCCCUCAGCGGGCUCAGCCAGGUGGAGAGACUCGCGCAGGCGCCCUCCGGGUUCGCGGUGCCAAUUCCUAACUUCCCAGAGCACCACCACGCACAUACUUCACUCGGAUUUUGCUUCCCAGCCCCAUUGUCACUUCUGAAGUCGAGACUCCGCCAUUCCUGUUUUGUCGGCUCUUGUCAUAGUGGAGUGCAUAGUUUGGAGUCAGACAGCCCUGAUCUCCAAGACAGGAGCUCAUCCCAUGCUGGAAGCGUGACUCGUUAACCCAGAGCCUCGGUUUCUUUCACACUUUGUAUAAAAUAGGAUAACCAGUAUUGUCGUACACAGGUUUUUUAUGUAGAUUGAGAUUAUAAUGACAGUAGAGUACUUGAAAUGUGUUUGGUUUACAGAACUGUCAGAUUUUUCUGCAUACUGCCUUCCCCACCACCAAUUCCUGUUUUUGUUUUUGUUAUUUUCUGGAACCAUUUUCUACAUAGUGGCCAAAACAGUGUAUAUACAUAUACAUAUACAUAUACAUAUACAUAUACAUAUACAUAUACAUAUACAUAUACAUAUACAUAUACAUACACAUACAUACAUAUGUAUAUGUAUGUAUAUAUGUUUUUCGAGACAGGGUUUCUUUGUGUAGCUUUGCACCCUUUCCUGGAACUCACUCUGUAGACCAGGCUGGCCUCGAACUCACAGAGAUCGCCUGCCUCUGCCUCCCGAGUGCUGGGAUCAAAGGUGUGCGCCACCACCGCCCGGCUUAAAGAAUACUUUUGUUGCUCAUAAGAGAAAACUUGAUUCCUGGAGAGGCGAUAGACUAAUCAUUCUCUCUCAGGGUCUGGAGACAGAAUUCUGGAGGGGUGGUUCGGCAGUUAAGAACACUGGCUGGUCUUACAAAAGACCAGAGUUCAGUUCCCAGCACCCACAGGGUGAUUCAAAACCGUCUGUAAUUCCAGUUCCAGGGGAUCCCACGCCCACUUCUGUCUUCUGCAAUCACCAGACAGACUAUGGAGAUUACAUACAGACAGAACAGCUUUACAUUAAAAAAAAAGAUAGAGAGAGAGAGAGAGAGAGAGAGAGAGAGAGAGAGAGAGAGAGAGAGAGAGCUUUCUGUUUCUUAACUGGGGCUCCAAGGCUGGUCUCACCCCCUUCAGCCUCCUUUUACUUAACUUAACGUUGUGUUCCAUCACCAGUAGUCUGUUGGCCAUCUCCAGACGUGUACUGUGCUUUCUGAACUCUUGAAUGCACCUCUGAAUGCUCAUCUCGUUUCCCCAGGACAGACUCGUGCCCUUCACUUUCUUCUUUUAAGAGAAAUGUCUUUCUUCUCCCAGGAACAGGUCAUUGGUCCUUCGUUUUUCCUCCCAUAGCCCUUCACCAGUUCAGCUAAGUCCGCCUUCUCUAUUGUGACUCAGUUUCCAUGUCUUUUCUACACUAAUCCUAAACUGUUUGAAAGCGCACGUUUAUUGUUGACAUUUCAUUCCUGUGUUUUUCUGUUGCCUACAGACACUGUUUACUCCAAGAAUAUAGAACGUGUAGAUCUAUCCAAGGCUCUAGGUUUUAGAAACUGUUUUGCCAGAGGAAAUGCUUUAGGGAUACUCUCUUGGAGACUUCUAAGUGAUAAUAUUACUUGGAGAAUUCUGAGUAUUUUAACUGAUCUUUUUUUUAUGUUUCUGAAGAUUGUCACACUUGAAAGUGACAAGUCCGGCUCAGAUGAUGAUGAGCAGCAGAUGGAGCUUGCUGAAGAAAUGGAGAAUGAAAUUUGCAGAGUCUGGGAUAUGUCCAUGGGUGAGGUAUGAGGAUGGAAGUGAAAUUCUGAAAAGACUCAAGAGUGAAGAGGUUUUAAAAAGAUUCAUUCCUUCACUGUUCAAGGGACUGUAGUCUCUCCAGUUUGUGGUUCAGGGUAUGAAGUCUUAGGAGCUAUUAAUGUAAAAAUUGUGCCUUGAACAUAUGUACAGUUUCGUCCUAUGGACAGCAUAGUGUAUUUAACAUAAAUGUGAACUAAGAUAGCUAUGACAUCACUAGACAGUAUGCUGUGGGAUGUUCUGUAUGGCAAAUGUGUUGCUGAUUUGUCAAUAAAUAAAACACUGAUUGGCCAUUGGCUAGGCAGGAAGUGUAGGCGGGACAAGGAGGAGAAUAAAGCUGGGAAGUAGAAGGCUGAGUCAGAGAGACACUGCCAGCUGCCACGAUGAGAAACAGCAUGUGAAGAUGCCGGUAAGCCACGAGCCAUGUGGCAAGGUAUAGAUUAAUGGAAAUGGAUUAAUUUAAGCUGUAAGAACAGUUAGCAAGAAGCCUGCCACGGCCAUACAGUUUGUAAGCAAUAUAAGUCUCUGUGUUUAUUUGGUUGGGUCUGAGCGGCUGUGGGACUGGCAGGUGACAGAGAUUUGUCUUGACUGUGGGCCAGGCAGGAAAACUCUAGCUACAGCAGUAUAAUUUCAUGGGACCACUGACAUACAUAUAUAUACAUAUAUAUAUAUAUAUAUGUAUAUAUACAUAUACACAUGCAUACAUAUGUAUGUAGUCAUCAUCGACUGAAACUCUAUUAUGUAGUGUGUGUUUUAUAAUUGGCAUACCUCACAGCUAACAGAUUUAGCUUUUGUACCUUAUAUUCCUAGGUGAGAGCCAUCUCUUUGGGGUCACAUGUCCACUCUAGUUUCAUCUGUGUGGUAUGCCCCUUUAGGUGAUGUGGGUGGAACAAAAUCUCCAGGGAGAACGUUCCAGGCUACUGUAGUUACUUUGUGAACAGAAUUUUUUUUCUGUUAAUUACUACCCCUCACCACCACCCCUUCAUUUAUUUUUUUUUCUUUGAAGGAUUUUGGAAACCCAAGUCCCAAUAUUGGACGUAACUCAGUAGCACUUAUCUCAGUUUUAGGUUCUUACAGGGUAGGAUUUAGGAGUUGAUUCCUUCUCCAUACCCCUUUCUCACCCCUAGCUUCUAACUUAAAUCUGGCAGUCAGCAAAUGUGUUUGGAUAAGUUAAUGAGAAUUCUGGAUGGACAGAAAAAAUGUAUUCGGUGCAGAAUAAAAGGAGGGCUCUUCUCUGGUGUGUCUCAGUCAGGGUUAGAUUUGCUUAUGAGUUUGUUCUGUCUUGGGACCGAGUACCACAAAGACUCUUCUGGUACUUUUGUCUUUUUAUUUGGUUGGGUUUUUUGUUUUGUAUUUUUCAAGACAAGGUUUCUCUGUGUAGCCCUGGCUGUUCUGGAACUCACUCUGUAGACCAGGCAGGUCUCAGACUUACAGAGAUCACCUGUCUCUGCCUCCCAAGUGCGGGGAUUAAAGGUGUGCACCACCACUUCCUGGCUUACUGUGUCUUUUUGACACUGUUCCUGAUCUUUGAUUUUUCCCUUGUGGAUGAAAGGAAGUAAGUAUGAAAUUAAACUUUUAGGGUUGUCUGAGCUCUGGAGCUUGAGCAGUAUGCAGCAUCUAAAUUGCUAAUCAUUUUUGUUUGUAGGAUGUGGCUUUAUUUCUCCAAGAAUUUAAGGCUCCUGACAUAUUCAUGGGAGUGCUGGCCAAAUCCAGGUGCCCCCGAUUAAGAGUAAGUGUGUACAGUUCUUCUCUCUAGUUUUGCUUAUGCAAAUAAAUCGGUGUAAAAAUACUUAUUGAACAUUCUUAGAUAACAUACUCCUUGAAAUGACUAGAUAUGUAGAAUUUUAGAUUUGGAUUAGAUUAGGGAGAGCAAUAAUUUAACAGCUGUGGAAACCAGAUAGGCAUAACCAUACUAGGCUGCUAAUAAGUGACAGAACCAGAAACAGUGCCUAGACCCGCUGUUUAUUUCUCAGUUCAUUGUUCUUCUUAUUCACAAAGCCCUCCAUUGCCUAACAAUGUCUUAAAGUUGUUGCUGGUCAGGACUCCCACAGUCUGAUUGUGAGAACUCUGGUGUACAAUCUACCUGCAUGCUCUUCCUGGUCGAGGGCGGUCUGCAUCCCGGCUCACCAGCAUGCCACCAUUUCUGGCCUUCCCUUCCCUUUCAGUCUGUUACUCAGUGUGGCACUUUUCUGCCUUGUGGUCAUUGCUGAGAGCAAGCUCCCCAGAGCAGCAGCUGGAACUCUGUGAGUGGUGCAGUGCCCCGAGCUUUCCUGUCUGUCUCUGUGUGCAGUGCACUCCGUGAGCAGGCCAGUGCCCCGAGCUUUACUGUCUGUCUCUGUGUGCAGUGCACUCCGUGAGCAGUGCAGUGUCCUGAGCUUUACUGCCUGUCUCUGUGUGCAGUGCACUCUGUGAGCAGUGCAGUGUCCCGAGCUUUACUGUCUGUCUCUGUGUGCAGUGCACUCCGUGAGCAGUGCAGUGCCCCGAGCUUUCCUGUCUGUCUCUGUGUGCAGCGCACUCCGUGAGCAGUGCAGUGCCCCGAGCUUUCCUGUCUGUCUCUGUGUGCAGUGCACUCCGUGAGCAGUGCAGUGUUCCGAGCUUUCCUGUCUGUCUCUGUGUGCAGUGCACUCCGUGAGCAGUGCAGUGUCCCGAGCUUUCCUGCCGUGUCUGUCUCUGUGUGCAGUGCACAUGAUGUGUGAUUGUCAGUGUGUGUUGGGUGACUGUAGUCUAUGAACAUGCACGCUCUACUCUUGGCCUUUACUCCUCCUUUGAGACACACGUAAUAGAUAAAGAGCCGAGUCUCAGACUUAUUCCUUUUAUCAACUUUGUUCCCUUUAAGUUUCUGGCCUGGAUAUCUGAUACUCUCUCUGGAGCUGGAGAGGAGGAGGGAGGCCUUCACCAACAUUGUGUAUCUGAAUGACAUAAGCCUGAUGGAAGGGGACAAUGGGUGGAUCCCUGAGACCUUGGAGGAAUGGAAGCUUCUCCUACAUCUACUACAGAACAAGAGCACGAGGCCAACUCCUCAGGAGUCACUGAAUGGGAGCCUCAGUGAUGGGCCUGCCCCCAUCAAUGUGGAGAAUGUGGCACUCUUGUUAGCUAAGGCCAUGGGCCCAGAUCGGGCUUGGUCACUGCUACAGGAAUGUGGUCUAGCCCUUGAGUUGUCGGCAAAGUUUACCAGAGCCUGUGACAUCCUGAGGAUCGCUGAGAGAAGACAGAGAGCGCUGAUACAAGCCAUGCUUGAGAAGUGUGACCGGUUCCUCUGGUCACAGUAGGCCUAGUGGGAGAUCUGUCAGGACAUGGUAUCAUUUUGACCAAGUGGAAUCCUGCUCCGGAAACUUCAGAGGACUUUGCCACAGAAGGAAAAGGGGAACCCCAAACCAUGCCAGGAACAGAACCUGCCAUGCUGCUGCAGCUGCUCUUGCCACCAUCUCCACCUUGGCACUUGGCUCUUGUGGCUCUAUGACCUCAGAGUUUAUCAACCAGAGUUGGCUCUUGGGAGAAGUUGGUCAUGGUUCAGUGGCCCGAGCAUGGGACUGCUCACCGCCAUGUGGUGUUCAGUGCGUACACAGUAGUGUUUGUGAUGUUAGUGCAUCAGGGAAUCGUUUUCUACUGUGGCAGAUCUGUUGGGGGCAGACGCUUUGCUCCAUGAGGACAGAUAAUAUUGUGAACUGGAGUUCAGUACUAUUUACACUUGUCUGAGGCCAUCUAGAAAUUACCGAGUUAAGACUUAGAACAAUGACAUUGUUUUUGUUGACAUAUGUAAUAAACAUUGAAAAUUCAAACUAGAGUUUUAAAUAAAAUUGCGCAUAUCUGAGUUGAACUCAAUUUAAAGUAUUUUUCCAGUAUUUAUUUGAUAUUUUCUAUUCUAAACUUACAUAUACUGACUCAUAACUGGAAAUAUAUUAUCUGUAAUUUUAAAAGAAUAUUACCCAAAAGAGUCAUGCACUUUUUUUCUUUUCCUUUCUUUUUUUGGAAACAGGGUCUUACUUUGUAACUCUAGCUAGCCUGGAACAUGCUAGAACAGGUCGGCCAGGCUGGCAAAGACCUUCGAGAUCUGCCUUCCUUUCUCUGCCUUCUAAGUGUUGAGAUUAAAGGUGUGUGCCACCCCCCCCCACUUUUAAAAAUUAUUUUUAAAGAGCUAUGGUAAGAGAAAGUCAAGCACUAAUGUAAGUUAUAACAAAUGAUGGUGUUAUUUAAGCCAUGUUACUAGAUUGUCAUUUGUGAGCCUUUACUUUAUGUUGUAUUGGUAAUAAAUGAUGAAGGUUUUGUUUGA